rnacentral:lncRNA from 1 species
UACCUUGUUUUACCCCUUACCUGUUUUUCCGUCUUUUUGUUUUUAUUUUUGGACAAUUUCCUCAGUUUUGUAAUCUAGCUCUUUUCUAGUAGGUUUUUAAAAUGAAACCCGACAGGUAAACAGCAAAGGGCACAGCUCACAAGUGUGCAUUUAGCUCAGUGGCUCUCCAGAAACGGAAAACUCUUGCAUGACUCCCCCCCGGCCAGGGGAUAGUGCGCUGCUGUUUCCUGCUGCUCCCCUCCUGCCCCGCUGGUCACCACUCCCUCUUCUCCCAGCGACAGUCACCCAGGACUGCUGACGCCACAGUUCACUUCCACUGUUUUCAAGCUUUAGUGUACAUCAGCCUCACCUGCAAGAUUUGGGGUGGGUUUUUUCACCUUUUUAGGGCCACACCCGCAGCACACGGAGGGUCCCAGGCUAGGGAUUGAAUCGGAGCUGCAGCUGCCAGCCUCCGCCACAGCCACAGCAGCGCAGGAUCCGAGCCGCUUCUGUGGCCUACAGCACCGCGGCAACGCCGGAUCCUUAACCCACUGAGCGAGGCCAGGGACCAAACCCGAAUCCUCACGGCUAUUGCUGAGCCACAACGGGAACUUCGGAAGAUUUGUUAAAACAGAUUGCUGGCGCUCACUUCAGAGUUUCUGAUUCAGUAGGUCUGUAUUGGAAUUUUCUUAAGAAGUUAUCAGGUGCUGCUGCUGAGAACCACUGGCCUAGGUUCUUUAGCUAAAACCAAAUGGAAUCAUACUGUUGUCCUUUUUGGUGUAUGGUGUUUUUUGUUCAAAAUUAACCUUGUGAAAUUAAUGCUUUUAGAAAAAGUAGCUGAAGUUCAUUUCAACUUCUGAGUAGUAUGACUCUGCCGUUGAGUGUGAAGUUAUUUAUCUGUUCUGCUGGUGGCGGUCGUUUGGACUAGUCCCAGUAUUUGGCUGUUAGGAGUGACGGUACUAAGGACAUUCCUUUGGAGUAUUUUGCUGAAAAUGUGCGAACGUUUCUGCUGGAAAUAAACCCGCGGGCGAGGAGCUGCUGGCAGGCAGCGUAUAUCCAGCUCUUUUCCACAGCAGUGGCACCAAUUUUCACUCCUAACAGCAGGGGGCGCGAGUGCGCUCUUUGCGCUGCGUCCUGGACGCCACCUCCCUGCUCCAUCUUUUUAUUUGUAAGCCCUUCUGGCAGGAGUGCAGUGGUUUCUCACUGUGGUCUUCCGUUGCAUUUCCAUGGUGACUGAUGGUACUUCUUAAGUUAUCUGCUACUUGGAUAUCCUUUGGUAUUAAAUAGCCAUUUAAGUUUCUUGCUCAUUUUUGUAUUUAUUUAUCUAUCUUUUUCCUAUUGACUUGUACUAGUUCUUGGUAUAUUCUGGAUAUGACUAUUAGUUGGUAGUAUAUAUUGCAGUAAUUUCUUCCGUUCUGUGGUUUGCCUUUAUUCUGUUAGGCAUAAGUUUUUGAGGUGUGUGUGGUGAGAACACCUGAGAGCUACUUUUAAAAGCAAAUUUCCGGCAUGUCGUAGAAUUAACUGUAGGCGUCCUGCUGCACGUCGAUGUCCGGCCUUACGCAUCCUGCGAAACCCUGACUCUGGCCUCUGACCAUCAUCCCCCCCCCUCCCCCCUCGUCGCUGCCCUUGGCAACUGCCGCUCCACUCGCUUUGUUUUCGGUGUUCAGGCCGCACACGCGUGUGAGCUCCUGCGGUCCUCCUCUCUCCAUGUCUGGUUUAGUUCUCUUCGUCCAGUGCCCUCCAGGCCCACCGGCGUUAACACUCGCAGACGGCAGGAUCCGCUUGCUUCCUCAGGCUGAAUAAACCUCCAUGUUACGCCUGUAUACAGAAGGCGCAGAGCAAGGCAACAAAGGAGAAAUGGAUGUCGGCGUAGGCGAGGAACAAGCAGCAGCAGAGACGUCGACAGCUGAAGAAGAAAAGUUUGCCUUUCUGCACCGCAUAGUCUGACAAGCCAAAAAACCCCGGCUGCAACAGAACUUCCAGCCUCCCUGGGGCCCUGGAUGUGACUUACAUCCUGCCCGUGAAAUGUACGUGCUCAAGAUUUGAGAAGGCGGACGGAGGCGGAGGCCACUUCCCAACUGUAUCUGGCUUCGUUCGCGUGGGUUUGCUCAUGAUCCAGACUGUGGAGCUAAGUCCAACAGCCAUUUCCAGCCGUUCCAGUUUCCCGCACUGAAACCUCCUCACAAACAUAAUGAGGGGAACAGCCUUCGGGGAUCUCAUAGAGCCAGUUCGUCUCCCCCAGUCCCGGUUUCUGGGCAUGUGGAUUAAGAGCCAGGAUUCUCCCGACAAGCAGGGGCCAGAGCGUGUGCGCUGGCACAGCUGCAGAAGAGCCCAACAGAGGACGCCAGGACACAGGGCACCAGCCGGGCUUGGCUUCCAGGGGUCCUUCCUCCACCGGUGUGUGGGGAGAGAGCCUCUUUCAUGGGGUGCCCGUUCCCCCAGAGCCUGUGCUCCGAACACCACAAACGUCAGCCCAUCCACGACUCAAAACCACUGCAGGGCAGGCGUGGUCACCCUCAGUGGACGUUUGGGACGACGGACUCUGAGCCAGUGACGCGACUCACCUGAGACGCUCAGAUAACAUCAGGUCUGUCUCACGGUCAGCGUCCACCGUUUACAUGAACGAGUUCUUCUCUUUUUUAAAUGAUGAAAAUAAUCUGUGUUCAUUGUCUGAUCUCUCUCAUCAUCCCGUUGGUGUGGCGGUAGCAGGAGGGAAGCAAGGGCUGUGCUUUCUGUGACCGUGUUUACGUCAUUGUCAAGUCCCUGCUGCUUUGAUGACAGAUCCUGCCCAGGUUUUGAUAAAAGAUACAGGAGUUCUAUUUUCGUUUUCCUUUCUUUUCUUUUUUUCAUUGCACUGACAUGAACAAUAUUUCAGAAAUAAGAGAUAAUUGACAAAAUGACUUGUGUUGAGCUAUUAAUAAAUAAAAGGGUAUAGCUAGUUACCGGCAAUAAAACUGCAAAAUGGAUGAUUGCAAGGAAUCACCAGCCACAUCUUAUUAAUAGGCCUCUGUGAGCUAAUUGAAAAGGAUUACAGCAUCACUAACAGUGGCAAUCUUCUAUGAUUUUAAUAACGACCAAAGUGUGUAUGUGUGUGUUUGGGCUGCUCCUUCUCUUCCCACUGGCUUUAGGCAAUAGUUAAAAAUGUGGCCACAAGAAUUCAGAUGUUACCUGUUACCUGCUUAGCCUAAACUGGUUCAGGGUGAUAACUGACUAUAAUCCGGUGUCAACAAUUCUAAGGCAGCAGGAGAAACGUGCUUAUACUCUGUGGCUGAAAAUAAACUAUGGAAAA